AACUGCCGCUGUAUCGCGUUACGG
rnacentral:siRNA from 1 species